CGAAGGGGGCUAGCGUUGUUCGGAAUUACUGGGCAUAAAAGGGCGCGUAGGCGGUCCUGAUCGUCGGAUGUGAAAGGCCUGGGCUCAACCUGGGAACUGCAUCCGAUACGGCGGGACUGGAGUGUGGGAGAGGUUGGUGGAAUUCCCAGUGUAGAGGUGAAAUUCGUAGAUAUUGGGAAGAACACCGGUGGCGAAGGCGGCCAACUGGACCACAACUGACGCUGAGGCGCGAAAGCGUGGGGAGCAAACAGGAUUAGAUACCCUGGUAGUCCACGCUGUAAACGAUGCGUGCUAGACGUUGGGAGACCUAGUCUCUCGGUGUCGUCGCUAACGCUUUAAGCACGCCGCCUGGGGAGUACGGCCGCAAGGUUA
rnacentral:rRNA from 1 species